rnacentral:rRNA from 1 species
UAAUACGGAGGGUGCAAGCGUUAAUCGGAAUUACUGGGCGUAAAGCGCACGCAGGCGGUCUGUUAAGUCAGAUGUGAAAUCCCCGGGCUUAACCUGGGAACUGCAUUUGAAACUGGCAGGCUUGAGUCUCGUAGAGGGGGGUAGAAUUCCAGGUGUAGCGGUGAAAUGCGUAGAGAUCUGGAGGAAUACCGGUGGCGAAGGCGGCCCCCUGGACGAAGACUGACGCUCAGGUGCGAAAGCGUGGGGAGCAAACAGGAUUAGAUACCCUGGUAGUCCACGCCGUAAACGAUGUCGACUUGGAGGUUGUGCCCUUGAGGCGUGGCUUCCGGAGCUAACGCGUUAAGUCGACCGCCUGGGGAGUACGGCCGCAAGGUUAAA